rnacentral:rRNA from 1 species
GAUGAACGCUGGCGGCGUGCCUAAUACAUGCAAGUCGAGCGAACAGACGAGGAGCUUGCUCCUCUGACGUUAGCGGCGGACGGGUGAGUAACACGUGGAUAACCUACCUAUAAGACUGGGAUAACUUCGGGAAACCGGAGCUAAUACCGGAUAAUAUAUUGCACCGCAUGGUUCAAUAGUGAAAGACGGUUUUGCUGUCACUUAUAGAUGGAUCCGCGCCGCAUUAGCUGGUUGGUAGGGUAACGGCUUACCAAGGCAACGAUGCGUAGCCGAAGGGAGAGGGGGAUAGGCCGCACGGGAGGGGGACCGGCGACCAGAGGCCUGCGGGAGGGAGCAGUAGGGUAUCGGAGGCAAUGGGGGAAAGCCUGACGGAGCAAGGCGGCGCGAGUGAUGAAGGCCUUCGGUGCGGAAUAACGUGUUAUGGGGUGAAAACAAAUUUGUAAGGAACUGAGGAGGGCGUGACGGUAACUGAUCAGAAAGCCACGGCUAACUACGUG